AAAAUUUUAUACUAAUAAAUUAUAAAUUAUAAUCAUGAUACUAUAAUAAAUAUUUGUAUAUUUGUUGUUAGUUGAAUUUUUGAAGUAAACAAUAAGCAGCAAUGUAAAUGGAUUUAUAAAAAAAAUAGUACUCCUACUCUAGUUAGAAAAAAUUGUUUGACUCCUAGUUAUAGGAUGGAGUAGCCUAUAGAUCUCCUUUGCCAAGUAGUUUAACUUUUGCAAGUUCUACACGUUUCCAUUCGCCUCUCCUCUUUUCUUUUUCUUCUUCCUCGUCCAUAUACACAGUCACAUACAGUGAGACACAGACACACACUAAUAUUUCUGGGGCAGCGAUGACUGGGUACUGGUCCAGCGCCGGCCAAGCCCCCGCUGGAGCGGCGGCUUGGCCUGCGCUAGGUCCGUCCCUGGGGCAGGGCAGCUGCUCGUCGCCGCCUCCCGUUCCGGACGGCUCUAUCACGAAGCUAAGUCCCCUCUAGUCCAUCUUAAUCCCUUUGUUGUUUGCAAGUUUCGAUUUGCAUUGAGAUGUUGAGUUUAUGGCAGCUUAGUUCGAAUUUUGAUUCUAGGCUUAGGGUUAUCAGUCCCUAUUCUAUCGAUCGAAUUACUCGUUGGCACUAUUGGGAAUGAACCUACAUGUAUACGUGAUGAGCUUCUAUGUUUUGAGAGUGGAGUAUUCCUAAGUUGCCGGUUUGAGUGGAGAGCUGUGACGUUUUUAUUCCUCAGUUUUCAUCAUGUAAAAAAAAAAAGCUCUACAAUUGUUUCAUGCUUGGUGCCUUUGUUUAUUUCCUUCCUAUUGAUUUACUUGAUAUUGAGCAUGCUAGUUGAAGUAACAUGCUUGAGAUGAUGAUACGGCACUUUAAAAUUGAGCUUGAUGGAGGUUACCUUCUCCUGCACGGUCUUUGCUGCUUCCUUACUCCUAGCUUCGACCUCCCUCACUCCCCAAUUUGAUUACUUGUUGGCCGAAUAUGUUAUGGUGAGAGGGAGUGAAACCGAGGGGAAUGUAGCAUAUAUAUAGGGUGUAUGUAACCGAAAGCUGCAAGGCUGUCUGUUAGUGCAGGAAAAAGGGGUUUUUGUUUUGACUGAGUAUUGGCUGUUCUCCUGCCCCUUUGCAGGAUAUGUACUCGUGAAAUAAAUGCAAUUCCGUUCUCCUUUGCCACCUUACUGCAGUAGCCCUGCAUUCUCGGUCCUCUGCAGCCUUUAGCCUUGGUUUCUGGUGCGUUUUGCAGGUGGUUAGGCCCUUCAAGAGGCUGUCUACUGAGCCCUACAGCUGGAGUUCUGCAGAGCUGCUGUGGUUGCAGUCUUUCCUUGGCUCGUAGCAGUUGGGUGUGGCCUGCGGGGUGCAUGUAAUGCAGGCUAGACCGCCUCAUGGCAGCCUGCAGUUCCGAGGACAAGGUGCAGGAAGAGCAGCCCCUCCUUCUUGCUUGGUUGAUCUGUUUUGACGGAUUGAAGGAGUGAGUGGCUGGCUACACAUGGUUCACUACUCAAUGCCCCAGCCCACCGGGCCUCUUCGAAUCUGGGCCGAGACGUCUUGUGAAGGAGACCGAUGAAGCCCUCUAGAAACUUUCGGUUGUAAUAGAGUAGCUCGAUUUAAUUUCUCUCUUUUUUCUUUAUUUCCAUCAUCAAGCAUUUUGUAAAUUUAUACUUAGCUUGGAAAUUCUAAAUACCAUGUUUUGUUUACUCAAGCAUAUAAAUGAAUACCCUUUCAUCUUUCUUCUUUAAA